UACGUAGGGGCUAGCGUUGUCCGGAAUCAUUGGGCGUAAAGCGCGUGUAGGCGGCCCGGUAAGUCCGCUGUGAAAGUCGGGGCUCAACCCUCGGAUGCCGGUGGAUACUGUCGGGCUUGAGUACGGAAGAGGCGAGUGGAAUUCCUGGUGUAGCGGUGAAAUGCGCAGGAUAUCAGGAGGAACACCAAUUGCGAAGGCAGCUCGCUGGGACGUUACUGACGCUGAGACGCGAAGCGUGGGGAGCAAACAGG
rnacentral:rRNA from 1 species